GUGGGGAAUCUUCCGCAAUGGACGAAAGUCUGACGGAGCAACGCCGCGUGAGUGAAGAAGGUUUUCGGAUCGUAAAGCUCUUUCGUCAGGGACGAACGUAUUUCUUGUAAAUAAUGAGAGAUAGUGACGGUACCUGAAUAAGAAGCCACGGCUAACUACGUGCCAGCAGCCGCGGUAAUACGUAGGUGGCAAGCGUUGUCCGGAAUUAUUGGGCGUAAAGCGCGCGCAGGCGGGAUAUCAAGUCUGUCUUAAAAGUGCGAGGCUCAACCUCGUGAGGGGACAGAAACUGGUAUUCUUGAGUGUCGGAGAGGAAAGUGGAAUUCCAAGUGUAGCGGUGAAAUGCGUAGAGAUUUGGAAGAACACCAGUGGCGAAGGCGACUUUCUGGACGAUGUCUGACGCUGAGGCGCGAAAGCUAGGGGAGCGAACGGGAUUAGAAACCCGUGUAGUCC
rnacentral:rRNA from 1 species